rnacentral:tmRNA from 1 species
GGGGGCGUAAAGGUUUCGACGGGGAUCGUGAGCCUUGGUAAGCGAGUAGUGGCGAUUCCACUUUAAAAAUCGUUUUUUAAAUAAUUAAAAAACAAUUCUGAAAAAAACAGCAAUAAUGUUACUAAUUUGAGCGAUUACUUCCCAUCAGAAGCUUGCCAAUUAGUAGCUUAAGUUUGCCGCCUCUUUAGGGAUGACCGCGACCCCAUAGAGGUGUCGAUUAGCGGUGAACGUGAGUAAGGGCUCGUCUUGGCUUUUACCAUGAAUUAAAGACUACCGAUGAGUUUUGGCUUGCCACUUAACAAUUCUCAGAGGGAAACUAGAUAAGUGGCUACGCUCGUAGAAAUCCCAGGUAAGUGAUUUUCGGACAGGGGUUCGAUUCCCCUCGCCUCCACCA